GUUACAGUGGUUAAUCACUCAGCUGCUAACUGAAAGGUUGGUGGUUAGAACCCACCCAGUAGCU
rnacentral:tRNA from 1 species